rnacentral:lncRNA from 1 species
AGAUAACCACGGUAGCAGUGCUCAGCUGGGAUGUUUCUGACAGCUCUCCUUUCCUGUGAAUAUCUGUUUUCUCCUCUUCCCCAACCAAUAUGCAGAAUACUUGAUUAGAACUUCAUUGUAACAGGUAUGUUUUCUUUAUUUGCUCU